rnacentral:rRNA from 1 species
UGGGGAAUUUUGGACAAUGGGCGAAAGCCUGAUCCAGCAAUGCCGCGUGUGUGAAGAAGGCCUUCGGGUUGUAAAGCACUUUUGUCCGGAAAGAAAUCCUUGGCUCUAAUACAGUCGGGGGAUGACGGUACCGGAAGAAUAAGCACCGGCUAACUACGUGCCAGCAGCCGCGGUAAUACGUAGGGUGCAAGCGUUAAUCGGAAUUACUGGGCGUAAAGCGUGCGCAGGCGGUUUGCUAAGACCGAUGUGAAAUCCCCGGGCUCAACCUGGGAACUGCAUUGGUGACUGGCAGGCUAGAGUAUGGCAGAGGGGGGUAGAAUUCCACGUGUAGCAGUGAAAUGCGUAGAGAUGUGGAGGAAUACCGAUGGCGAAGGCAGCCCCCUGGGCCAAUACUGACGCUCAUGCACGAAAGCGUGGGGAGCAAACAGGAUUAGAUACCCUGGUAGUCCACGCCCUAAAACGAUGUCAACUAGUUGUUGGGGGAUUCAUUUCCUUAGUAACGUAGCUAACGCGUGAAGUUGACCGCCUGGGGAGUACGGUCGCAAGAUUAAAACUCAAAUGAAUUGACGGGGUCAUAGCUGUUU